rnacentral:lncRNA from 1 species
GAGAAGGCAAUAGGCGGAGGAGGACGCCACACACGGCGGACGGAAGGGGGAGCCCUCUCGCGGUCUUGGAUACGAAUAAGGCGGGAAAUGGUGUCGAUGCCGGCGCCGGUGGAGGAAGGGAGGGAGAAGGUGAAGAUGAGAUAAAUGGCGGGAAAUGGAAUCUUCAUGAAGGGUUCUGAGAGUGGAAACUGGUAACAGAGAAAGAAGAGAUUCUCGUGGAAGGAAUUUCA